rnacentral:snRNA from 1 species
AUUGUUUCUUGGCCUUUUGGCUAAGAUCAAGUGUAAUAUCUGUUCUUUUCAGUUUUAAGACUGGUUGAGAGUCAGUUUUUUUUUGUUUUUUUUUUUUUUUUUUGAGACAGGGUCUUGCUGUGUCACCAGGUUGGAGUGCAGCAGUGCCAUCUCGGCUUACUGUAA